AUCCACAUGCAAUUUUUAUUAUCUUGUUUACACAUAUGUUUAAUAAUAUAGG
rnacentral:antisense_RNA from 1 species